rnacentral:lncRNA from 1 species
GGUGCUUCUUUUUUUUUCUUUUUUCUUUUCUUUUCUUUUCUUUUUUUUUGGGGGGGGGGAGGGGGAGUAUUUUAUUUACAUUUCAAAUGUUAUCCGCUUUCCUGGUUUCCUCUCCAGAACCUCCCUAUCCCAUCUCCCCUCUCCCUGUUUCGUUGAGGGUGAUUGCCCACCCACCACCUACUCCUGCCUCCUCGACCUGGGGCACUUCUAACUUGCUGGUGGUAGAACACUUACAAAGAUGUGACUAUGCAUUUCUGUUUUCUUUCUCGAAAGUGGUUUGGCAAAAGUAAAGAUAUUUACUAUGCAAGAUCUACUACAAUUCAUUUGGAUUAACCUGUCAUCUAGUCUCUAUAAAUCACGGGGUUUUUUUUUUUUAUGAGUUUCUUAAAACAAUUGCUAGAAUAUCAUCAAGGUAAAUAGUGCUGUGAUAUCAAACUCAGACAAGAACCAUAGUUCCCAGCAAAAUGUCCCUAGACAAGACUUUCCAGCUUAUCAAUGAUCAAUUUGCAGAUACUUUCUCUUAUCAUUCCAAGUUAGAAUCUUUAGAGGUAAAGUUAAAAGAAUAUAAGAAAAAUACAACACUAGCUUUAGGUAGAAAUGUGUCAACAGCUGAAGAAUGUUAGGGAACCUGAAAGAACAAAAGGUAAGAUGGAUGAGAAAAGAAAGAAUGAAAAAGAACUGACUGAGUUAUGGAAUAAAUUUAAAAGAACUUGUCAAGCAAAACAAUGAAAUUCUCAUUUCUGAGAAAAAAAACACUCUGGAAAAAAUUAAAGAGCACCAAGAGAAUGAAACAAAAGAAAUUUAUGCUCAAAGACUGCUUCUACUAAAUUAUAUAGAUUUUCUUAGAAGCAGAGAAGUAGAGUUGAAGGAAUCAUUUGAAGCUCUUGAAUUGACCCAGAAGCUCAAAGAAGUAUAAAAUAAGAGUGAGGCUGAGGCACUUCGAUAUGGGAAUGGAAGCUAAAGAAUUCUGAAGAGACCUAUGAUGAGAAACUCAAAACUGAACUUCUUUUUUUUUUUCAUUUUUUAUUAGAUAUUUUCUUUAUUUACACUUCAAAUGCUAUCCUGAAAGUUCCAUAUACUCCCCCCCCCCCCCGCCUUGCUCCCCUACCCACCCACUCCCACUUCUUGGCCCUGGUGUUCCCCAUGUACUGAGGCAUAUAAAGUUUGCAAGACCUAGGGGCCUCUCUUCCCAAUGAUGGGCGACUAGGCCAUCUUCUGCUAGAUAUGCAGCUAGAGACAUGAGCUCUGGGGGUCUGGAACUAAAGGAUGACUACAUUGCUAGAACAAAUAAAAUACUGGAAGAGGGAAGAAAGAGUAAAGAAGAAAGCUAUUCAUUUGCAAGAGGAGCUCACAGUUAUUAAUUCAACAAAGGAAGAACUCAGUAAAUUUGUAAAGCCAAUGAAAAAAGUUGAUCUGGAACUAGUCUGUCAAAGACUAGUUUUUAGAAAUGUCAAAACAAAACCGUUCUAUGUAUAAAAAGGUGAAAGAGAUGGGUGAUUAGUCACUACUGAAAGAAGCUGUGGAGCUUCAGUCACAACAUAAAUUACUUAAACAGCAACUGGAUGACUAUAGGAAUGAAAACAUACAUCUCCUAGACUAUAUAACUCAGCCA